rnacentral:rRNA from 1 species
UACGUAGGGGGCCAGCGUUGUCCGGAAUCAUUGGGCGUAAAGCGCGCGUAGGCGGCCAGAUAAGUCCGGUGUGAAAGUCAAAGGCUCAACCUUUGAAUGCCGCUGGAAACUGUCUGGCUUGAGUCCGGAAGGGGCGAGUGGAAUUCCGCGUGUAGCAGUGAAAUGCGUAGAUAUGCGGAGGAACACCGAUGGCGAAGGCAAUCCCCUGGGCCUGCACUGACGCUCAUGCACGAAAGCGUGGGGAGCAAACAGG